GGUGUCCAUUAAUGUAUGACUGUGUUGUUAAAAUACUGCUAACACUAAACCCUCACACCUGAUCCACAUACUUUGACACAAAGAUUAGACUGUCGUGAAAAAAUCUGAUAUAGCUUGCAUCAUAGGAAAAAAUCAGAUUUGGGUUGUAUUUGCCAGCACUGUGAACAAGUUUAGUCCUCCAAGGGAAAUUGAGGAUUGUUUGCUGAUUUGGGGUUUUCUGCACCUGAUCUGCGCUUCCCCCCUAGACUCACCUUCCAACCUUCCAUGACUUGACCGUCAUGAGGUACUUUGACAUGAGUACCAGGACCAAGUCAAUGAAGCUUUUUAUGUUAAAGAGCUCGAAGACGCAGGUCCACCAGGUCCAAAUAUGGACUCSCUGCACUGAUCAACCUGGUUUGGACCAGUUAGGUGGUUUCCAUAGAGAAUGCUGCAGACUGUAGAACGCCAUGGCUUCACCUGGUUCUGAUCCAGAGUGUGGAUCUGUGACAGUCGACUCAAAGAGCUGAAAGAAGCAGAUGUUUCAAUUGAUACUUUAACUGAUUUUAUUGAAACCUGGUGAAGGGAUUGGGAUGAUUUAUUUUCUAAUGGAGGAAUAAAAAUGUUUAAAAUUUGAAAUAUAUUCAAAGCAUUACAGAGUCAUAAAGUUCUUUAUUGGUGAUAAAUGUUAAAAUCAAGUCUGUGAUGGUUGGUGUUUACAGGAAAAGAUAUCAGAACUGUAGUCAAAAAGUUUGCUUUUGUGGUUGAAAUUAGAUUAAUGUUUUGUUGGUUGUUUUCUGCAUWUUCGAAACAUUAAAAUAAAAACUAGAAAACCAAAACAAGUCUCAUAUUUUAUACCUAUACAUAAAUAGCAGGUCCAUUAGAUUCAAGUCUGUGUUGCUCCUAAAGUGAAACAGCUGAGGUUGAUGCUUUUAUAAAACAUGAAAAGUUUAAUUAAAACAUUAAACUUUGAAGAAAUGAAUAUCAUCCAUCACCUCAGAUGUCAAAGUUUCAAACAAAGAUCUCAUUAUCAUGGUUGUAAAAUGGUUUAAAUCCAAAAGCAGACAUGCAUAAUGAGCUCAAACAAAAAGCUUAUUUUUUUAACAAAGGAAAUGGCCCCAAACGUCUUACACAAGGACUAAAACAUGAGGGGUAACACAAUGCAGAGCUAUUAGACUAACACAAACAUACACAAUAUAUAGCAACACUGAAACAAACUGAAAUGACAAACACYUGUGAGGAAGACAWGCAGGAGUGGGAGGAGCUCUGAGGAGACAGAACGUGAACACAGGAAGGAAAAUAACAGAAAAACACAAAACCCCACAGAAUCUCCUCUUUAAAGGAUGGUUUCUGAGGUUCAUAAAACAAAGAAUAUACCUUAUUUGCGUGGAUGGGUGAGGGGGGGGUGGGUGGACACAGGAGUGUGGCCUUAAUUUUCUUCCAUAAAUAUAAGGUAGAUAACAGUCUUUCAUAUCUACUCUAAUCCUCUGCUGAAAUUAUUUUAUUUUACAACUAGAGGGGGCAGCUGAGUUCAAAGUYGUUGUUUCUUCUCUCUGAUUCAAUUCGAAUUCGAAAAUACUUUAUUGAUCCCAGAGGGGAAUUUGGUAAUGGUGAUGGUGUUCAGCUGGAACAUUCAUUCCUUCAUUCACACAAUGCAAUACAACAAAACAAAGCAGAUAAAAUCCAAUGAGUGGAGAGGCUAACAGCUUCAGUAGCUUAAUUCUUUUCACCAGAUACAACUAAAUUAACUAAAUAUAGAUGCAUAAAAUUAUAAAAACACCAUCAAUUCCAUGUAAACAAAUUAAAUUCACUAGUGCAAUAACAAAAAUGGCUUAUAAAGUCCUGCGUCGCAACCCCCCCAGACCCACAAGUCCACAUAGGGGUCUCCAGCGUUGAUAAAGGCACGGGUCCUCCUCUGGACGAGAAGCUCUUCCUCCUUGGAGAGUUCAAAAAAUUCUUUGCCCACUGGGUCUUGUCUUGGUCCGAACAKUCUGUCACGUCUGGAGGCUGAGGURGGACCCAUUUGAUGGCAGAACAGACAGGUUCAAAGUAAAACUGUUUAUUAAAGAAAAAGCCGACGUGGUGGCA